CUAUAGCUCAGUCAGUAAAGCAUCAGACUUUUAAUCUCAGGGUUGUGGGUUUGAGCCCCACCUUGCGUGAAAGA